UUCCGCGUUUCCCUAUUCGAAUCAAUCAUGAUCGACCUUCCAAGUCAACGAAACCAUUUCCAAACAUACAAGACGCCUUCGGUUUACUAUAUAAACCGAGUCUCACAAGCCAUCCUCAACACAAUUCCGUUUCGAACAUCCUCACACCUUACAAACAUCCUUUCGCUCAAAACCGCGUACUUGUCGGAGAAGUCGGGUCGUCGCCGGAAGUACUUGAAGCUCGCCGGAGCCGUACGGAAUCCGACGGAACUCGAUUCUUUCGUUCGGACCCCCUUGUUCACCGGAGACGUACCGGGAACACGACGGGGACUGUUCUCAUCAACGUUCGGCUAUCGCUCUCGUUUGUCCUCUUGAACUAUCUCCAAUCUCUACUCGUUCUUACAAGAAAUCGCAACGCAACCAAUGUUGAUGGAUGAAGUGAUCAAGAAAACAAGUUAGGAUGAAUCUAGAAACCCAUCUAGAAUAACAAUGUUUUCAACUAUUUUUGAUACGAUGUUUGAAUCUUGUAUGACAUUUUAGCAUUUAUGAAAUUUGAUUAAAUCUA